AAUGCUACGAUCUCUUUGUGGUUUCCUAGUGAGCAAAAAGGUGGAUGCCUCCAGGAGCACAGCAGCUGGAGGCAUAAGUUACAGUUCCUUUAGGUGAAAGGCCAUGGCAUGCUGUUUGACAACUUCUGUUCACAUGGGAAUUGGAGAACAAGGCCAGGUCAUGCUCUUGGAUGCGCCCUUAUGUCACUGACUAAACCAACAGUUGUUACAUGUUUGUAUCCAGAAGCAAUAUUUGGCUUCAUAUUUUGAAACCUUAUUGCAAACGGAGAAGAACGUGAAUUUUCUGCUUGUUGUUUUUAACCCCAUGUUCUGUACCCAGAACAAUGCAAACCUAAAAGAAUUUCAAGAUGAGAGGCUGAGUCUCCUCCCAUUCACCCAGCUGUUAAUCAGAAGUCAAUGGGGUUACACGGCUUUAAAAGUGUGAUGGGUCCCUGAAAAGUGACAAGUAACCAGAGUCUGCUGUCUGCAGUCCUGAGCUCCACCUUUCAAGAUGGAGAAUGAUUUUUGAUCUCUGAAGCCGCACCCCCAUCUUCCUGUAACAACAGCAGCUGCUUCACACAAGAUUGGCCAGCUGAACACGUAGUCUUGAAAAGCAAAUGUUGAAUGUACAAUGCAAACAGCUUUGUUAAUGGAAACAAAGUUGUAAUUGUUGGAGUCCACAUAUGUCUGAGUAACAUAUGAGGCAAGUAUGGAGGCACAAUCCUGCUGUUACUGGACCUUGAAUAUGUGGCUGUUUGGGGAGAGUUUACUGUGCUGAUUUUCCUCCUUCCAUCACUCAUUUCUUAUGAAUU